rnacentral:rRNA from 1 species
GACGUAGGGCGCGAGCGUUGUCCGGAUUUAUUGGGCGUAAAGAGCUCGUAGGCGGCUCGUUGCGUCAACCGUGAAAACUCGAGGCUCAACCUCGGGCUUGCAGUGGGUACGGGCAGACUAGAGUGCGGUAGGGGAGACUGGAAUUCCUGGUGUAGCGGUGGAAUGCGCAGAUAUCAGGAGGAACACCGAUGGCGAAGGCAGGUCUCUGGGCCGCAACUGACGCUGAGGAGCGAAAGCAUGGGGAGCGAACAGG